CAUUAUCAAUUGCAUAAAAAAAAAAAAAACUUGUACCCCUCCUUGGAAACUUAAGUCCCUCAUCCAAGACAUUCUCAAUCUGGCUGCGAAGUUCGAGACCAUUUCUUUUUCGCAUGUUUUUCGCGAGGCCAACUUUGUGGUGGAUGCUAUUGCCUUAACGGGUCAUGUCCUCUCUUUUCCCAAAGUUUGGUUUGGUUCUGUUCUGGCUGCGGCCUCGUCAGCCUUACUGCUAGAUACUGUAAACCUUGGAUGCCCAAGGGGCUUUGUUUUGUAAUUUCCUUUUCUCCUCAAAAAAAAAAAAAAGGUUAACCAUAGUUAGUCCAUGGUUAAGAGUUAUCAUACAUGGCAGUUUUUUAUUGGAUGGUGGUAUCACACUUAGAGGCUAGUGCUCCGGUCAGUUUUCUGGCUUUGUGGAAUGAAAAAUAA
rnacentral:lncRNA from 1 species